UACAGAGGGGGCUAGCGUUAUUCGGAAUUAUUGGGCGUAAAGGGCGCGUAGGCGGCCACGCGUGUCUUUCGUGAAAUCCCUCGGCUUAACUGAGGACGUGCGGAAGAAACUGCGAGGCUUGAGUCCGGGAGAGGGGGGUGGAAUUCCCAGUGUAGCGGUGAAAUGCGUAGAGAUGGGGGAGAACACUCGUGGCGAAGGCGGCCAGCUAGACCAGUUCUGACACUGAGGCGCGACAGCGUGGGGAGCAAACAGG
rnacentral:rRNA from 1 species